UACGAAGGGGGCUAGCGUUGCUCGGAAUCACUGGGCGUAAAGCGCACGUAGGCGGAUUUUUAAGUCAGGGGUGAAAUCCUGGAGCUCAACUCCAGAACUGCCUUUGAUACUGGGAAUCUCGAGUCCGGGAGAGGUGAGUGGAACUGCGAGUGUAGAGGUGAAAUUCGUAGAUAUUCGCAAGAACACCAGUGGCGAAGGCGGCUCACUGGCUCAUUUCUGACGCUCAGGCGCGACAGCGUGGGGAUCAAACAGG
rnacentral:rRNA from 1 species